UUUGAUACUACACAAGCUUUUACCAGCAGUAUUAUUCCAAGUAUACCAAAUGUUAAAAGUUUAUCCCUAUAAACAAGGAAAAAAGACAACAUUUAAAACUUGAAACUUAGGCCUGAAAAACCUAGGCACUGGCAAAUCCAUGAACAUGAAAUAGUCAGAAUAGUUGUCAUGACAACGAAAACUAUAUCAUCGACAAACACCUCAUUAUUCCAUCAUCAAAUCAAAAGGAGACAUGCCUUUGCAAUGCGGAUCCCAUUGACCCACUGAUGCAGUGUCCUCACAUCAUCACAACAAAGGUCAAGAUGUCCAAGUUAAAAUAGAUCUUCACAUCUUGAGAAAUUCCCAAACAUUCCUUCUACAUUUCAAAGAAACAAAGUUCAUCAAGGUUAACAAAGUCCAUAGAAUUCUCCAUCUAUAAGAUUAUGGAAAAGGAAGAGAAUGUUUAAUUUCACUUUCAACCCACUGAAAUUAUGGGUGCAGAAGACUCCAAAUCAGAGAGGGACUUUGACAAAGCUUCAGUGUCUAGAGGUGAGGUGAAUUACUGGGCUGGGUACACCAAGCCUAUGGCACAGCACCUGGGACAAGAAUCUACAGUCACACCUGUCACAGAAGUACAGAUAUAAUCAUUGCAAGAAGUACAAAAGCUUGAAUAAAGAAGAAAAAAAACCUUCCUAAAAACAGCUCAGGUCACAAUACAUGCAUGGACUAUCGUGACUAUAGUUCAGGGAAAAAAAGAGACAAAAAUUAUUUCUGGACCAGAUGACAGCCAGUCUGAUUUGAACUUGGACACAGUGCCCUCUGAUGGUUUGCUGAGUAAGUACAGGAAAAGAACUAAAGCACAUUUAUGACCUACAUUCGGCUCUAAGUUUUCCUAAAAUAAGCCUGGUGUUAAAUGAGAAUCUCAAAUUUAUAAUCAAAUACAUUUUAUAUCUCACAACUCAAAGCUUACAAUCUAAUAUUCACUCCUUACCUAGAGAUACUUGGCUCAGGGUCUGCUAUGAUACAGCACAUGCCUCUUUUCCUUACCACACUUCACCAUUCCUUUUUAAACUUUGAGAAUAAAGCAAAAACAGUAUAAUUGGUGGA